UACACUCCUACGGGAGGCAUCAGUGGGGAAUAUUGGACAAUGGGCGCAAGCCUGAUCCAGCCAUGCCGCGUGAGUGAUGAAGGCCCUAGGGUUGUAAAGCUCUUUCACCGGAGAAGAUAAUGACGGUAUCCGGAGAAGAAGCCCCGGCUAACUUCGUGCCAGCAGCCGCGGUAAUACGAAGGGGGCUAGCGUUGUUCGGAAUUACUGGGCGUAAAGCGCACGUAGGCGGAUCGAUCAGUCAGGGGUGAAAUCCCAGGGCUCAACCCUGGAACUGCCUUUGAUACUGUCGAUCUGGAGUAUGGAAGAGGUGAGUGGAAUUCCGAGUGUAGAGGUGAAAUUCGUAGAUAUUCGGAGGAACACCAGUGGCGAAGGCGGCUCACUGGUCCAUUACUGACGCUGAGGUGCGAAAGCGUGGGGAGCAAACAGGAUUAGAAACCCUGGUAGUCCCAUGAU
rnacentral:rRNA from 1 species